UUUUUCAGUAUAAUAUGUUUUUGUAUGUGAUGUGAAUAAAAAUAAGAAAAACUUGACAACAUGUUCUUCAUUCAAGCGUCUCGUUUAAUUUUCUAGUGAUAUUAUUAUUUUUUGCAUCUAGCAUUACAUUAAUUUUAUCAUAUUUGCUUUGCAUUUAUGCAAUUAAUUUCAUAUAAUACAGUUAUCCUAUAGUUUCAAAAAGGUAUGCUAUACUUCUUAAUUUUACCUUUAUUCUUUCUGAACUAUAACAGUUGAAUUUAUAAUUGUUGUAAUUAAAUAACAAAUAUUUCAAUUUUUUAAUCAAUUCUAGCUUAUUUUACAAUAGAAUUACGAUAUAAAUAAAUGCAAUAAAUUUUAGGGAUUUCUCUAAAUUUUUAUAAUAUAUGCAACAUAUUUAUCAGUACUACAUUUCAAAACCAUUUUCUUAAAUUCAAGAUUUCUAAUGAUAUUUUUAAUUUCAAGAAAAAUUAUAACUGCUUAAAAUUUUGUAUCCAUAUAAAACUACUAAAUUAUAAACUUAUGCAUAGAUUUUCAUUCUUUGUGCUUUUGAUGUUUUCGUCAUAAACAGACUUUUAAAGAUAUGAAAUCUAGUUCACUUAAACAACGCUUAGUAAUUUAAUUACGUUAAUUAUUUACGUUUUAGAACAAAGAAGGUUAUCGUAAAUGGCUGCGGAUGAGUACUACUACAUUUGAGGAAAUCUUAAGACUUGGUUUCUCCGAUAAUAGUAAACCAGAACACCCACAUGAGAUUGUCCACACCAGCUGAAGAAAGAUUAACUCUAGCUAAGAAGAAACACAAUGCUCAUUGGCAUUCCAGUUUCGAAUCGCUCCAAGUGCUAUCUUGUCAGCUGUGUUUAAAGCAUCGUACAAUGUUUUGAAAGGUGUCAUUGGGAUGAAACUGCGACAGAUCUUCAUUUAAAGUGUAAUCUCCCUAUGUAUUGUAGUGCUCUAGAUGGUUAACAUAUUAAAAUUAAAUCCGCCUGGUUCUGAGUCAAAUUAUUAUUACUACAAGAGUGAUUACAGUGUAGUUUUACUAGCAUCGAUCUCGAACUAUUUGCAUCACCUUUUGAGCAGGAAAAGAGGAAGGAGAAAUUUAUGUUCUCCUAAAGAGUGUUAUCGCUAAUAUUUUACUGAUAUGCUACUUUAUUUACUACAAGAAUUAUAUGUGUAUUUUUUAAAUUUCACGUUUUUUUUAUUUUUAAAUUAUUAAAAAAAUUAAUUUUUUAUAUUUAAUGUUAUUUCUUCUUAUAAAUUAAUUCUUUUUUAAUAACAUUCAUUAUUUUUAAAAGCAUUAAAUUAUUUAAAAAGCUAUUUGUUGAUCAUAAAAAUUAACGCAUUAAUACGUUUGAAAACACAACAAAACUAUUUACUACAAUACUGUUUGUCUAAUAAUAAUAAUAAUAGUGAUAAUCUUCAAAUUUAUCAAGAAUUAAAUAAAUGAUACGUUUGUAGAAGUAUGUAUUAAAUCUUUUCACUUCUCUUUAAAAUUUAACCGUUCAUCAUAUAUGCGAUCCAAAUUUAUAUUGCUUCCACUAUUAUUUUUCCUUACAUUAACAUGUCUAAGUGAUCGUCUUUCAAAAGAAGAAUUCCUUGUUAAUUUUUACAAAAUUUAUUAAACUGAAACCUUGUUCACAGUCAACACCAGGCACCAAAAUUGUUCCAUCAAUAAUAAUUUGUUUUGAAAGUUCGGAAAAUUGUUCAUUCUGUAAUGAAAAUAUUACAAUAUUUGAAAAUUUAUUAACAAUGAACACUUAAUUUUCUUUACCUGUCCAUUCUUGUACUUCAUUUUCAGGAAAUCUCUCUUUUAAAUGACAGCAAAGUAAAUUUCUAAAAGUUAGCAUAGAAUAAAUGUCAAUUUCAAUAUUUUUUCCUCCGGUUUACAGAGAAGAAUUUUCAUUGCAUUACUCUAAGAACUCUACUGUGGUUAAUAAGUUAUUUUAUUAUUAAGUUGAUUUAUUUUACCAAUAACAAAAUGAAAUAAUUAAGUAGUGUUAGCUUUCGUUGCCAACAAAUUUUACACAGAGCUCAAAACUUCUUUACAAACGUUAUUCAUAAUACUUAAAUUAAAUUAAAUUAAAUUAAAAUUCGGUAUCAUUCAGUUUUUGUAUACAACAUUUUGCAACAGGAUUACUUGCUUUACCUUCAUUAAAAUAUUUAAUUAAUGCUUCGUAUUUUUACGUGCAAAAUAUCUAGAAAACCACUUAACUUUAUUGACAUUUUAAAGCUAAUAGCUUCAUUUUUAAAGCAUUAACAAUAUCUUGACAUUUAUCUUGUUUUCUUGAAGAUUAGAAACGUUCCCAUCAAAGUUUAAAUAUCUCUCAUUAAUUUAACUUCCUUUGAAGCAACGCAGAUACAAAAAUCUUCACGAUGUGCAAUACAGGGUUCUUGAACCAAAUGUGAUAUAUUUUCCUCCCAAAUGUAGUUUUGCUGCUACUCCACUUACCUUCCCUAGCAUAAUAGCUGCUUCAUCAAAAGUAAAUACAGUCAUCCCUCAGUUAUCGCGGUUAAUAAGAACUAUCUGG